rnacentral:rRNA from 1 species
CCUACGGGGGGCAGCAGUGGGGAAUAUUGCACAAUGGGGGGAACCCUGAUGCAGCAAUGCCGCGUGAAGGAUGAAGGUUUUCGGAUUGUAAACUUCUUUUGUACGGGACGAAGAAAGUGACGGUACCGUAAGAAUAAGCCACGGCUAAGUACGUGCAAGUAGCCGCGGUAAUACGUAGGUGGCAAGCGUUAGCCGGAUUUACUGGGUGUAAAGGGCGAUGAGGCGGGAUUGCAAGUCAGAUGUGAAAUCCGGGGGCUCAACCCCCGAACUGCAUUUGAAACUGUUGGUCUUGAGUAUCGGAGAGGCAAGCGGAAUUCCUAGUGGAGCGGUGAAAUGCGUAGAUAUUAGGAGGAACACCAGUGGCGAAGGCGGCCUGCGGGACGACAACUGACGGUGAGGCGCGAAAGCGUGGGGAGCAAACAGGAUUAGAUACCCUUGUAGUC